rfam:Alligator mississippiensis ScZkoYb_227.1, whole genome shotgun sequence.
GGUGGGAUGAUCCAGUGGUUAAGGUGUUAGCCUGUGUUUCAGAAGGUUUGGGUUCAACUCCCAAUUCUGCUA